rnacentral:misc_RNA from 1 species
GAUGAAGAACGCAGCGAAAUGCGAUACGUAGUGUGAAUUGCAGAAUUCAGUGAAUCAUCGAAUCCUUGAACGCACAUUGCACCUCUCGGUAUUCCGGGAGGUAUGCCUGUUCGAGCGUCAUUUGUACCCUCAAGCUCUGCUUGGUGUUGGGUGUUUGUUCCGCCUCUGUGUGUGAACUCGCCUCAAAACAAUUGGCAGCCGGCGUACUUGUUUCGGAGCGCAGCACAUUUUGCGAUCCAGAUCAACGUACAGCGGCAUCCAAGAAGCCUUAUUUAACGCUCUUGACCUCGGAUCAGGUAGGGAUACCCGCUGAACUUAAGCAUAUCAAUAAGCGGAGGA